CUUUUGCUGUACAAUUUUUUUUUUAAUGACUUAGUCCCAAACAAGGCUUGAAGUAACAGUAGUGUAAGGGACUACAAAAAAAAAAGAAAAAAAAAAGAAGGAGCAUACAAAUUCAAAAGAUAUUGAUUGAUAGAAGCUUAAAUAUCACAGACCAGAGGAAAAACAAGAUGAUAGUAGUGAGCUUCAGAGAGUAGCAAUUUGAGAAAAGAAGCUAUUAGAAUAAAAAGACUUAUCACUAACUGGAAGCUCAACAGAGAAACGAUGCCCCAGGGAAGAGAAGCGGAUGACAUGUUUAAAGGUCUUGAUAGAGUACUAGACCCAAAAGUUCAUCAAAGCAAGCAAUUACUAUGGAAAUACUUAUAGAAAAGACACAAUGAAGAUAUAACAUUUUCAUGAUGAGCUAAAGGCUCCAACCUACCAGGAAAAAGAAGACUAUGUAAACAGUUUUUCCAACACAAAGAGGCUAGUCCUCAUAUUCUGAAGCUAUUAUUAAACCUUUCCAAAUCUUACAAGCUGUUGAAAUGCAUUCAGGAAAAAACUAUUCAGAGGUAAAAAAAAAAAAAAAAAAAAAAGCUCUUGGAUACAAGAUUAUUUAUAAUUUUGUUAAUGACUUACUAAAGAAGACGAGGCUAAAAUGUUUGACUUCAAUGAUUAGAUCCCUCCAUUUCACUGUUCCAGCAAUCAAUCAACAAAUGUGAGAGAAACAACUAAUCUGUGAAGGAAUCAGUAUGGAGCAGACAACCAAAGAACAUUUUUUUCCCUGUAGUAAAACUUCCACUUAUCCAGAUCCAUUUUGCGUUUUUUACUUCAACAGAAAGUUUAGAAAUACAGAAAAAGAAAAUGCAAUAAUUGUGAUGAGACAACUAAUUGGUUUGGACUCAGUAUCGUUAUCACAGCAAUAAACUCCAAGAAUUGUUUAAUGGGAAUUAUAUCUAGUUCACUUCCCUCUGUAUUGGAAAAAACUAAGUUCAAUUCAAUACAAAAUCCUCUGUGAGUUCAUGCAGUUAUUUAUCAAUAUGUCAUUUGUUUUUAAGCUGUAUAUUUUAUUUAUUUUUAUUUAAUGGUUUCUACUGAAUAAAGAUAAGUUCUUGAAAAACCAUGUUCAUAACCUAGUUUUGAUUCUUAGCAAUGCAA